UUUGGCCACGUGACAUUUUAUGGUGUCUUUAGUUGUGAAAGAAGAGGCCAGAGCAACAGAUUUUCCGAUGUAUACGAGCUGUUAGAAGUCUCCUUCGCCUACUGGACUGGAGUAAUUACAAUAAAAGAAAGGCUGAGUGGACACUAUGAACCACUAUAAAUAGAUGAAGAGGAGCAUGAGAAGUAGUCUAAAAUAUCUAUAGUCUAACGAAGAAGCCCGCCACACUAUUAGAAGAAAUACUUACGGACUAGCAACUACUGUGCUAAUAUAAGGGAAUAGUCCUGGAAGACACAAGUACAUGUAGCACAAGGAUUUCCCAUACUUUGUCUGGUGAAGAAUAUUACUGAGAGAGACGAAUUCACUAUUAUAUUGUUAUAUGUAAUUAUUGAAUUUAUUCAUGACUUGAUUGGGCUAAGCUCUUACUUACAAGAAUUUUUGUCUGUAUGUACGUACGUUUGGGUGUGACUAGGAGGUGCAAUCAGGAGGUGAAGCCCCUCAAUGUUUUAUAUUCUUUCUAGUAUUAUGACGUGUCAACUCCUGAUUGACCUGCAAUAUUUAUGGAGCUAAGAAUGAGUGUGGAAUGAACAAUACUGGGCUUAUCUUCUUUGUGGGGGGCUGGUACCAUCUUAUUGGUCUUACUUUUGGUUUAACUUAUUGUGAAAUAUUCCAGUUGAUCCAGUACAAUCGAUUUAAGCUAUGUUUACAUGUACAUGUAUGUAACUCAAUCCAUUGUGUCAGUUGCAUUGAAACGCAGUAUUAGAUCUAACUGGGAUUGGUCUUACGUUAUAUUCUCCAGAACUGAUGUAAUGAAUGAUACAUUUAAUUUUAAACCUAGCUUUAUAGAGUCUCACAGCCAGACUAUUCCCUAGC